rnacentral:rRNA from 1 species
GUCUAAGGUCAUGCUACCUUGAACAAGCCUGAUCCCGUCUGAUCUCGGAAACUAAGCAGGGUCGGGCCUGGUUAGCACUUGGAUGGGAAGCCACCUAGGAAGACUAGGUGCUUGUAGGCG